rnacentral:tRNA from 1 species
GUGGGUGUCGCUUAGUAGUAAAGAUCAUGCUUAGCAAGCAUGAGGGCCUGGAUUCGAUCACCAGCACCAAUA